ensembl:snRNA U2 U2 spliceosomal RNA
GCCGCUUCUCGGCCUUUUGGCUAAGAUCAAGUGUAGUAUUUGUUCUUGGCGUGGGGGGAGGCACAUCGAAGCUAAGGGAUGUGAUCAGGUCCCCUCUCCAUCGCUGGGCAGAGAAACACUU